UUUGUCAUACUGCCACCAUCAAUUAUCACAUCACAAAACAUCUAGUAUGAAACAAGUUCUAUCUUUGAUUGCAUUCGUCUUGUUGUACUUGCAUAUUCAAAGCUCUUCUUGCUAUAAGAACCCUUUCACUUUCUACCAUGGUAAAUUAUUCAUCUUCAUUAUCAAUUUCAUCUUCAGAUGAUGGUAUUUCUCCUUCAUUCUCUUCUUCACUAGCUGAAUAAUACUCUCCAUCAAACAUAAACAGAGUUCUUUGAUUUGGACAAUCCCGCUUGUUACCUACACCUUGAUAUUU
rnacentral:lncRNA from 1 species